rnacentral:rRNA from 1 species
UACGUAGGGGGCUAGCGUUGUCCGGAUUUAUUGGGCGUAAAGAGCGUGUAGGCGGCCAUGUAGGUCCGGUGUGAAAACUCGAGGCUUAACCUCGAGAUGUCAUCGGAAACCAUUUGGCUAGAGUCCGGAAGAGGAGAGUGGAAUUCCUGGUGUAGAGGUGAAAUUCGUAGAUAUUGGGAAGAACACCGAUGCCGAAGGCAGCCAUCUGGACCGACACUGACGCUGAGGCGCGAAAGCGUGGGGAGCAAACAGG